rnacentral:rRNA from 1 species
CUAGAGUGCGGUAGGGGAGAAUGGAAUUCCUGGUGUAGCGGUGGAAUGCGCAGAUAUCAGGAGGAACACCGAUGGCGAAGGCAGUUCUCUGGGCCGUUACUGACGCUGAGGAGCGAAAGCGUGGGGAGCGAACAGGAUUAGAUACCCUGGUAGUCCACGCCGUAAACGUUGGGCGCUAGAUGUGGGGACCAUUCCACGGUUUCCGUGUCGCAGCUAACGCAUUAAGCGCCCCGCCUGGGGAGUACGGCCGCAAGGCUAAAACUCAAAGGAAUUGACGGGGGCCCGCACAAGCGGCGGAGCAUGCGGAUUAAUUCGAUGCAACGCGAAGAACCUUACCAAGGCUUGACAUAUACGAGAACG